GAUGAACGCUGGCGGCGUGCCUAAUACAUGCGAGUCGAGCGAACGGACGAGAAGCUUGCUUCUCUGAUGUUAGCGGCGGACGGGUGAGUAACACGUGGCUAACCUACCUAUAAGACUGGGAUAACUUCGGGAAACCGGAGCUAAUACCGGAUAAUAUUUUGAACCGCAUGGUUCAAAAGUGAAAGACGGUCUUGCUGUCACUUAUAGAUGGAUCCGCGCUGCAUUAGCUAGUUGGUAAGGUAACGGCUUACCAAGGCAACGAUGCAUAGCCGACCUGAGAGGGUGAUCGGCCACACUGGAACUGAGACACGGUCCAGACUCCUACGGGAGGCAGCAGUAGGGAAUCUUCCGCAAUGGGCGAAAGCCUGACGGAGCAACGCCGCGUGAGUGAUGAAGGUCUUCGGAUCGUAAAACUCUGUUAUUAGGGAAGAACAUAUGUGUAAGUAACUGUGCACAUCUUGACGUUACCUAAUCAGAAAGCCACGGCUAACUACGUG
rnacentral:rRNA from 1 species